rnacentral:rRNA from 1 species
UAAUACGUAGGGGGCGAGCGUUGUCCGGAAUCAUUGGGCGUAAAGCGCGUGUAGGCGGUUCAGUAAGUCUGCUGUGAAAGUCCAGGGCUCAACCCUGGGAUGCCGGUGGAUACUGCUGAACUAGAGUCUGGAAGGGGCGAGUGGAAUUCCUGGUGUAGCGGUGGAAUGCGCAGAUAUCAGGAGGAACACCUAUGGCGAAGGCAGCUCGCUGGGACAGUACUGACGCUGAGACGCGAAAGCGUGGGGAGCAAACAGGAUUAGAUACCCUGGUAGUCCACGCUGUAAACGAUGGAUACUAGGUGUGGGGGGUGUCAACUCCCUCCGUGCCGAAGCUAACGCAUUAAGUAUCCCGCCUGGGGAGUACGGCCGCAAGGCUAAAACUUAAAGGAAUUGACGG